rnacentral:misc_RNA from 1 species
ACAAAAACGCUUCUAAAAGCAGGAUAAAUUAUACGUUGAAGUGGUGCUAAUGCAACUCAUUGCAAGCCAGAUAAGGAAAGCUAAGUAUAAUAUUCUGAAAAAUGAGAUAUGACAGACGUUACCCACUAAUGAGUACCGCCCUUAUAAUAUUAAAUUCUAAACAACACUGUUAUUAUGAAAUAAAGUUAUUUUGAUAUCG